rnacentral:rRNA from 1 species
UCCAGAGAUGGAUUGGUGCCUUCGGGAACUGUGAGACAGGUGCUGCAUGGCUGUCGUCAGCUCGUGUUGUGAAAUGUUGGGUUAAGUCCCGCAACGAGCGCAACCCUUAUCCUUUGUUGCCAGCGGUUCGGCCGGGAACUCAAAGGAGACUGCCAGUGAUAAACUGGAGGAAGGUGGGGAUGACGUCAAGUCAUCAUGGCCCUUACGACCAGGGCUACACACGUGCUACAAUGGCAUAUACAAAGAGAAGCGACC